UGGGCCCGUAGCUCAGUUGGACAGAGCAUCUGCCUUCUAAGCAGAGGGUCUAAAGGCCCGCUUUAUCGGCUUAUCCA
rnacentral:tRNA from 1 species